AACGAACACGAGGGAUGUUUGCUCCUCAAUUAAAUAGGAAGCAAUCAUCGUGUAGCCAUGGAAAUCAAUGAGUACGGAGGAAACGUUGCAGGGAAAAAUGAAGCCAACGAGCUCAACUCCACAGAAGUUGGUCACAUCCUAAAACAAUCAGUGUGUGGGCAUACAGGGGCUCGCUGAGGAAGUGCGGUAUUUUGACAGUAACCUUUGCAGAAAGUGAGCACGUUUCAAAACGCUCAAGUGUUUGUAGAAUGUCAGCCAAGCCUGCUGCUCGCUCCUUAGUCUUUCCUCUCAGCAGCCCUGACACCCACCCUCCAUGAAAUUCCCAUUCUAUCAAGAAACGUUGGGUUUAAAUGGCUUUCCAAAACCAAUGUGACACUCUAGUGGAUGGCCCCACACCCAGAAGGAUAAAUUAAUAGCACAUGAUUGAGUUGAUGGAUUAUUAAAUUAUCAAAUAAAUAAAUAUACACACAUCUACAAGGACACAUAUCGAGAUGGGAGAUUUUGAAGGAGUUAGUAAGAAGCCGAGUGAAUAUGAUCAAUAUACAUUGUAAGAAGCUCUCAAAUAGUUAAUAAAAACGCAUAUAUUAUUUAAGCUAGUGUGAGUGGCAGCAUUUGAAGCAACAUGAUCUUUCCACCAAUCAGAAGUCAUCUUAAAGGUGAGCCGUGUCCACAUGCCCUGACCUGAAUUUCACAGAACAAAGAUCUUGGAACUAUCUCUCCACACCUAUAACUAGUCUCUCUUUAUAACUAGGCUUACAGUUAAUAAAUAGCCUUGGAGGUGGAAGUGAAAUUUAAGGUUUAAGACUGUGUUUCAGGAGGCAGAGGCAGGAGGAUUUCUGAGUUUGAGGCCAGCUUGGUCUACAAAGUGAGUUCCAGGAACAGCCAGGGCUAUACAGAGAAACUCUGUAUCAAAAAAAAAAAAAAAAAAAAAAAAAGACUGUGUUUCAGGGCUGAGAAAUGGCUCAUCAGCUAAGAGCAUCUACCGCUUGUGUAGAGAGAGAACCCUUAAAUUCAAUCCUGCAGCUCAGAGUAGCCUCUUAUUUCCAGCUCCAGGGGAUCCAGUGUCCUCUUCUGGCUUCUGGGAGCACCUGCACUCAUGUGCACAACCCUCCACACAAACACUCAUGCAUACAAACAAUUUAAAAAAAAAAUAAGUCUAAAAGUCCAAAUAUAGGUCAAUAUCACGUUGGCCAAAUUCUGAUUCCUCAGAAAACCUUCUGGUUCUUUUGCUCUCGCAGUAGAGUAGUAAUGGCCUUUGUAGAGAUCUGAAGUUUGUGUUGCACAGAAAUGUGUCUGGUGGUGAUGGUGAUGAUCAUGGUGGUGGUGAUGGUGAUGAUGAUGGUGGUGAUGAUGGUGAUGAUGAUGAUGAUGGUGAUGAUGUCAUCUCAGUAAAUGAAACUGAGCAUAGUAACAAUGUUUUCAUCCUCAGAACCUGGGUGUAAUGAACUUUCUCUUUAGUGAACACCUAUACGUUUAGUCUCAUUACUUUUAUACCAAAUUUUCUAUUCAGUACAAAUUAUAUUGUUAAUUGAAAACUCACAAACACUUCUAGAUGUGACUAAUGCAGGCUAGGUCUUGUCUGCCCCCCCCCC
rnacentral:lncRNA from 1 species